rnacentral:rRNA from 1 species
GACGAACGCUGGCGGUGUGCUUAACACAUGCAAGUCGUGCGACGAACCAGACUUCGGUCUGGGGCAAAGCGGCGAACGGGUGAGUAACACGUGGGUAAUCUGCCCCGAUGACUGGGACAACCCGAGGAAACUCGGGCUAAUACCGGAUGUGGUGCCUGGACUCAAGUCCGGUCACUAAAGGUAGCUUCGGCUUCCGCAUUGGGAGGGGCCCGCGGCCCAUUAGCUUGUUGGUGGGGUCAAGGCCUACCAAGGCAACGAUGGGUAGCUGGUCUGAGAGGACGAUCAGCCACACUGGGACUGAGACACGGCCCAGACUCCUACGGGAGGCAGCAGUGGGGAAUCUUGCGCAAUGCGCGAAAGCGUGACGCAGCAACACCGCGUGAGGGAAGACGGCCUUAGGGUUGUAAACCUCUUUCAGAUGGGACGAAGGUGAUGCGGUGAAUAGCCGAUGUCAUUGACGGUACCGUCAGAAGAAGCUCCGGCUAACUACGUGCCAGCAG